ACUACGGGAGGCAGCAGUGGGGGAUAUUGCACAAUGGGGGGAACCCUGAUGCAGCGACGCCGCGUGGGUGAAGAAGCGCCUCGGCGCGUAAAGCCCUGUCAGCAGGGAAGAAAAUGACGGUACCUGAAGAAGAAGCCCCGGCUAACUACGUGCCAGCAGCCGCGGUAAUACGUAGGGGGCAAGCGUUAUCCGGAUUUACUGGGUGUAAAGGGGGCGCAGACGGCGAUGCAAGCCAGGAGUGAAAGCCCGGGGCCCAACCCCGGGACUGCUCGUGGAACUGCGUGGCUGGAGUGCAGGAGGGGCAGGCGGAAUGCCUGGUGUAGCGGGGAAAUGCGUAGAUAUCAGGAGGAACACCGGUGGCGAAGGCGGCCUGCUGGACUGCAACUGACGUUGAGGCCCGAAAGCGUGGGGAGCAAACAGGAUUAGAUACCCCUGUAGUC
rnacentral:rRNA from 1 species